AAUCCUCUGUUCAAGAGCGUACCUUGAGCAUACAUGCUGUGACCCGAAAGAUGGUGAACUAUACCUGAUCAGAUCGAAGCCAGGAGAAAUUCUGGUGGAGGAUCGAAACAGUUCUGACGUGCAAAUCGAUUGUCAGAAUUGGGUAUAGGGGCGAAAGACCAAUCGAACCAUCUAGUAGCUGGUUUCCUCCGAAGUUUCCCUCAGGAUAGCAGGCGCUUUUCGGUUCAGUCUCAUCCGGUAAAGCUAAUGAUUAGAGGUCUUG
rnacentral:rRNA from 1 species